GACAUCCCAAAAAAUGUGGUUGUUUUUUGUGGGGAACAUUUAUUUUGUAUGACAACACUAGACAUAUUGAGUGAAUGAAAUCCAUUUUUGCCAUCUUCAUUCGUUAUUUGCGCUUUGAAGAGUUUGAAGUGUCAAAUUAAUCUAAAUAACACGAUAUAAAUAAAGUUGUUUUUCUGUGUUUUAAUACGGUUUACACUUUUUACGAUACUUAAAUAUAUAAAUAACGAUGUCCGCAAACAGCCAACGGUCAAAUAAGGACCAUACUGCUAACUUCGCCAAAAAAGAAACUGCCAAACUGGUGAUGCUUCUCAAGGAUUACACAGUCGUAACCUGCAAACAACUGAUCACUGCAGCAAUCUACAAAAAGAUGCAGCUUGGAAAUCUCUGUGACGUUUUCAACUUAGAUGGGUCUAGACACCGACGUGUUAAAUUUAAUAUACAUUUAAUGAAGGUGUAGGCACAUUUUUAUAUUUAUUCUUGUAUAGCUGUGUCCUACAACAAAAGGAAAAAAUCUUUUAACCCUUUGGAAACAAGGAAGCGGAU